rnacentral:rRNA from 1 species
UAAUACGUAGACCUCGAGCGUUAUCCGGAUUUACUGGGCGUAAAGCGUCCGUAGGUGUCUUUUCAAGUCUCCGGUGAAAUCUCCGGGCUCAACUCGGAAACUGUCGGAGAAACUGAAAAGAUAGAGUAUGUCAGGGGCUGAUGGAAUGCUUGGUGUAGCGGUAAAAUGCGUUGAUAUCAAGCAGAACACCAGUGGCGAAGGCGAUCAGCUAGGACAUUACUGACACUGAGGGACGAAAGCGUGGGUAGCGAACGGGAUUAGAUACCCCGGUAGUCCACGCUGUAAACGAUGGGUACUAGGUAUUCGGAGCAUAGAACCUCUGAGUAUCGAAGCUAACGCGUUAAGUACCCCGCCUGGGGAGUACGGUCGCAAGACUA